rnacentral:misc_RNA from 1 species
GAUGAAGAACGCAGCGAAAUGCGAUAAGUAAUGCGAAUUGCAGAAUUCAGUGAAUCAUCGAAUCUUUGAACGCACCUUGCGCUCCUUGGCAUUCCGAGGAGCAUGCCUGUUUGAGUGUCAUUAAAUUCUCAAGACCUGUCUGCUUUUUUGAUAGGUAUUGGAUUUUGGGGGUUGCAGGCUGUUUCAAAUAAAUAGCCUUGCUCUCCUUGAAUGUAUUAGUGGAGAAAAGCCAUUGAACUCCAUUGGUGUGAUAAAACCUAUCAAUGCCAGGAGCAAUAUCACUACUUCUCUCUGCUGUCUAACUGUGACUGUCUGUAUUAAUUAGUAUGGAUGGGGACAACUUGACCAACUUGACCUCAAAUCAGGUAGGACUACCCGCUGAACUUAAGCAUAUCAAUAAGCGGAGGA